GUAUUUGUUCUUAUCAGUUGAAUAUCUGAUAUGUCCUUAAUUUAAAGACUGUAUAUUCCAUUGGUUUUCCAAACAGGGGGCUGGACUAGGAGCUUGCUCUGUCCACCCCAUACAUUGACCUCAUAUUGCAGUGUCUCCGAGAUUGGUGC
rnacentral:snRNA from 1 species